UAUAUAAAUAUAUAUUAGAAUAAGCAAACGAAAAAUUUCAAUAAAAUUUAGAUUCUUAGUUUCAAGAAACCCCUAUUUUACAUCUUCAUUUCCGCUUUGUGCCUUCAUGCUUACUUUCUUUGCAUUAGGUAUUCUAUACAUUCAUUACUUUGGUGUAACUUUCUAAUUUUCUAAGUUUAUGAUUUUUUAUACAUUAUAAAUUUGUAUAUCCUAUCAUUAUAUUAAGCCUUUUACCAUUAUUAAUUCAAUAUCCAAAUUUAUCAUUGUUUAAUCUAGUAAUCAUUUUAUUAGACAGCUAACAACUCUUGACAUAUCUUUCAUUUUGAACUCUUCAUUACCAAGUGUAUUCAAAAACUUUAAAACUUUAAAUUGGGCUCGAAAAUGUUCCGUCUUGAAGAUAUUCAUGUUUGUGGAAUUUCGAAAUAUGGCCAUUGUGCUAAUAUUGGAAAAAGGUUCAGUUUUGUGGAUAAUUGCUGUUGAAACAUCGACAUGUUGUCUCUAAUCAAAUUCUUAAGAAGGCUUUAACUCAACAAGACAUGCAUACAUCGUUGGUCAAUCCACAGCUCCUGGCAGCCCAUACAUACUCACAUGGCGAACAUUUUCGUCUUGGAUAUCUUCAGCUCUUUUUACCAUGCUCCUCCCGAUGACCAGUGAAAGAAUAUCCAAGGAA
rnacentral:sRNA from 1 species